CAUUGUAAAAAGAAAAUCCGUUGGCUUUUUAGACCGUGAGGGUUCAAGUC
rnacentral:tRNA from 1 species